UUCUCCCCUAUACCUGGCUUAAAUAAUAAUGACGGGAUCCUAUGUAGAUUUUUUUAUAUCGAAUAAAGACAGUCAGAACAAAAACAAAUCUCUUACUUAUGAUGAACAAAAAAUAGCACUACAAUCUAUACUAAUAUUAUAAAGCUGCAGACUUUGUUUUUUGUUGUUUGAACGAGCUAAUCUCGGGACUACUGGUUGAUUAUAUAUUGAGAAAAAAAAAUCCUUAUACUUGAUUAAUAGUUUAAACUUUGAUACAGAAUUUAAUAGAUAAGUGAUAGUUUAAACUAUUUACAAAGUGCAUUUGACGGUUACACCUCUUAAAUACAAUAAAAAUUUUGAAAGGAUAUAAAAAAAAAUCACAUAAUCAAUAUUUUAUUUUGAUCUGCAUCAUGAAUAUGUGUAAAAAAGUCAACGUUGCUCUACAGAAUAAAGGACAUACAAAUAUAUCAAAUUUUUAUAAUAAGUGGCCCUCAGUCUUCCUAUACUUUAAGACCUGAAAAUUGUACCAUCAAAUGAAAAAAGCACCUUCCUUAAUAUUAUGGAGAAAACUUGGCGUAUCCUAUUAUCUGCAGUUCAUUCAUAAAAAACAUGUAUUGGACUUUGGAUUGACUGCUCUGCAUACCAACUAAACAACCGAACUGAGUAUGUAUGUGUGUCCUUUCUUUUUUCCUUGUUUAAAUUGGCUAGAGGAAU